rnacentral:rRNA from 1 species
AGUGAACGCUGGCGGUAGGCCUAACACAUGCAAGUCGAACGGCGGCACAGGAGAGCUUGCUCUCUGGGUGGCGAGUGGCGGACGGGUGAGGAAUACAUCGGAAUCUACCUUUUCGUGGGGGAUAACGUAGGGAAACUUACGCUAAUACCGCAUACGACCUACGGGUGAAAGUGGGGGACCGCAAGGCCUCACGCGAUUAGAUGAGCCGAUGUCCGAUUAGCUAGUUGGCGGGGUAAUGGCCCACCAAGGCGACGAUCGGUAGCUGGUCUGAGAGGAUGAUCAGCCACACGGGAACUGAGACACGGUCCAGACUCCUACGGGAGGCAGCAGUGGGGAAUAUUGGACAAUGGGCGCAAGCCUGAUCCAGCCAUACCGCGUGGGUGAAGAAGGCCUUCGGGUUGUAAAGCCCUUUUGUUGGGAAAGAAAUCCUGUCGAUUAAUACUCGGUGGGGAUGACGGUACCCAAAGAAUAAGCACCGGCUAACUUCGUGCCAGCCGCCGCCGUAAUAC